UACGUAGGGGGCGAGUGUUGUCCGGAUUUAUUGGGCGUAAAGAGCUUGUAGGCGGUUUGUCGCGUCUGCCGUGAAAAUCCGGGGCUCAACCCCGGACUUGCGGUGGGUACGGGCAGACUAGAGUGUGGUAGGGGAGACUGGAAUUCCUGGUGUAGCGGUGAAAUGCGCAGAUAUCAGGAGGAACACCGAUGGCGAAGGCAGGUCUCUGGGCCACUACUGACGCUGAGAAGCGAAAGCGUGGGGAGCGAACAGG
rnacentral:rRNA from 1 species